GCAGAGGGGGCCCAGCACACAGCUUCCACUCUUCUCUUCUCCUCUCUUCUCCUCUCUUCUAAUAUCUCUCGCGAGACCCGGUUACCAUGGCAAUGCUCCACGGGUCUCGCAAGAGUUAUUGGAAGAGAGGAGAAGAGAAGAGUAGAAGCUGUGUGCUGGGCCUCCUCU